GACGAACGCUGGCGGCGUGCUUAACACAUGCAAGUCGAACGGUAAGGCCCUUCGGGGUACACGAGUGGCGAACGGGUGAGUAACACGUGUGUGAUCUGCCCUGCACUCCGGGAUAAGCCUGGGAAACUGGGUCUAAUACCGGAUAGGACCCUGGGAUGCAUGUCCUGGGGUGGAAAGCUUUUGCGGUGUGGGAUGGGCCCGCGGCCUAUCAGCUUGUUGGGGGGGUGAUGGCCUACCAAGGCGACGACGGGUAGCCGGCCUGAGAGGGUGACCGGCCACACUGGGACUGAGAUACGGCCCAGACUCCUACGGGAGGCAGCAGUGGGGAAUAUUGCACAAUGGGCGCAAGCCUGAUGCAGCGACGCCGCGUGAGGGAUGACGGCCUUCGGGUUGUAAACCUCUUUCAGCACCGACGAAGCGCAAGUGACGGUAGGUGCAGAAGAAGGACCGGCCAACUACGUGCCAGCCGCCGCGGUAA
rnacentral:rRNA from 1 species